ensembl:miRNA Mir6357 microRNA 6357
GUACUUACAAAGCCGCGCUUGUCGGUGUAGGCAGGGGUUGGGAGGGACGUGAGGUAGCCGUCCAUGGGCCCUUUCUUAGCGCUGCUCAGGGCUUUCAGGUUGCA